AUUGAACGCUGGCGGCAUGCUUUACACAUGCAAGUCGAACGGAAACAGGCCGCAAGGUGCUGACGAGUGGCGGACGGGGGAGUAAUGCAACGGCACGUGCCCCGUCGUGGGGGAUAACUACUCGCAUGAGUAGCUAAUACCGCAUACGAGCUAUGGAUGAAAGCGGGGGGCCGUAAGGCCUCGCGCGGUUGGAGCGGCCGAUGUCAGAUUAGGUAGUUGGUGGGGUAAAGGCUCACCAAGCCAACGAUCUGUAGCUGGUCUGAGAGGACGACCAGCCACACUGGGACUGAGACACGGCCCAGACUCCUACGGGAGGCAGCAGUGGGGAAUUUUGGACAAUGGGCGCAAGCCUGAUCCAGCAAUGCCGCGUGCAGGAAGAAGGCCUUCGGGUUGUAAACUGCUUUUGUACGGAACGAAACGGCUCUGGUUAAUACCCGGGGCUAAUGACGGUACCGUAAGAAUAAGCACCGGCUAACUACGUG
rnacentral:rRNA from 1 species